rnacentral:rRNA from 1 species
AUGAAAACGGGCACGGCCCCGGGUUCUGAUGGGUGGCCGGUAGAGUUUUUCAAAAAAUUAUGGCCCAGCCUGAAACAUGUGUUUCACGCAAUCGUUAAUGGCUUUGCGUUGGGCCAAGUGGACCUGGCCCGUCUAAAUUUUGGGGUGAUUAGUCUCAUCCCCAAAGUUAAGGGCACGGACAGCAUCAAGUUAUUUAGGCCUAUCACGCUUAUUAAUGUACCGUUCAAGCUAUGCGCCAAAGCCUACGCUGUCCGGCUGACACCUAUUGCUCAAAGGGUGAUCAGUAGGUGUCAGACUGGGUUCAUCAAGGGGCGCAAUAUUUUGGAGGGACCAGGUGCGCUAGCGGAGAUCGUGCAUGAGCUAAAACGAACGAAAGGACAAGGGGUGCUGCUCAAGCUCGACUUCGAGAAAGCCUAUGACCGCGUGAACUGGGAGUUCGUAUGGGAGGUGCUGCUCAAAAAGGGUUUUGACGCAGGCUUUGUUCAUAGGAUUAUGCACCUGAUUAGCUGUGGGUAA